GCCGGGCAUGGUGGCUCAUGCCUGUAAUCCCAGCACUUUGGGAGGCCGAGGCAGGCGGAUUGCCUGAGCUCAGGAGUUCGAGACCAGCCUGGGCAACAGGGUGAAAUCCUGUCUCUA
rnacentral:SRP_RNA from 1 species